rnacentral:rRNA from 1 species
UAUAUUGACUGUGCUAAGGUAGCAUAAUAAUUUGCCUUUUAAUUAAAGGCUAGCAUGAAUGAUUUGACGAAAGAAGAGCUGUCUCCGCUUAUUUUUAAUAAAUUAACCUAGAAGUUAAAAGGCUUCUAUUCUCUAGAGGGACGACAAGACCCUAUAAAGCUUUAUUUAUCAUAUUUCUAUUUAUUUCAAAAAAAAAUAUAAAUUUAUAAAUUUUAUUGGGGCGAUAGAUAAAAAAACAUUAUUAACCAUAACGUUUUUAACGAAACUUAUAAAAUAUUCUUAAACUAAACAAGUUACUUUAGGGAUAACAGC